rnacentral:lncRNA from 1 species
GUAUCUGAUGCAGUUUCCUGAGUUGUUUUACAGGUGAGAAAACUCCCACCAAAUGGAAGGUGUUAACUACAUGAUGACCAGGAGCACACAGCCCCCACCCUGUUGGAGCCUAGGGGCUGAUGGUGUUAACACCUGUGACUCCUUUUUCCUCACCACCAACCAAUCAGAGACUGCAGGAGGGGGUCACAUGCCCUGGACUCCGCGCCCUCAACCUUACCUUUAAAAAAGCCCUGGGUGAGGCCAAGGGCAUAGUCAUACCGGAGGUUACUGCUUGUGCUGUGGUCACGUCCUGACACGGAACCCCAGAGCAGGGGGGACCCUACAUUCCAUUCUGCUCUUAGGAGGGAGGAUUGGUCCAGGUAAGAAAAUGGCAUCUAUUCUCUUUAGCAACAUGUUGGCUUUAUUUAUAUUUUUUAAAUGUUUAGAGGUGGAAUGCAAGCCCUACCUAUACUCUUGUCCAGAUCCUGCCAAUGUUGGCUCAGUCCUGAAUCUGAGCUCCCUUUCAGAGGCCUCAGUUCCCCCCAUACCUGGUUGGUUGGCCAUUGCUGUAGUGGCUGAGACAGUCUUUAGUGUUAUUACAAAAAGAAAAAGGCUAUUUACUCAGAUCUGGGAAGUGCAGUCUCAAAAAAGAUGGAUCAUUUCCAAUGAUAAGCCUUUAUGAUAAGGCCAGCUGAGAGCAGGAGGGCAGCAAGAUAGUAGGUUGAAAAAGCAUGAUGUAGGGAGUGAAACAGACCUGUCUUUCAAGCCAGCUUUGCCACAGACUGGCUAUGUGAUCUUGAGAAGUCAAUUACUCUCUGGGCCUUAGUUUCUCAAUUUUUACACUGGACAAUUAACAACUAUCUUAUAAUGUAAGGGUUUGCAAUAGCCUGAUCCCUCUAACACUUGGAAUACCAGCUCAUUAGUAGAGGCUGGAUAAAAAUCUGUUGAAUGGAGAAAAUGAAUUUGAGAUAACGUAUGAUGCACCUCACACGGAGCCUGGUAAUGGGUGAAAACAAGGGCUUUCAUCUGCCAAAGCUCUACAGGAGCACUGG